AUUCCAAAGGAGAUCAACUCCUUGGAAAUAUCCUUCUUGCAUUAAGUUUCCUUAAUCUUACACAGAUUGAAAAUUCUAACUUUGAAACAUUUCCAGAUUCCAUUUUGACUAUCACUUCUGAACAAGAGUUGCCUCCUUACAGAUUAUGUCAAUAUGGUCCUUCCAGAAUUAUCACUAUACUUCCAAUUGUCCUUGAGCAACCAAUCUUUGGUAAACCUUAGAUUGUCCUCGACAAUUGUUUAAUCCUUUUAGUCAUAUCCAGUUCUAAACCUUUUCCCUUCUUAAUGCCCUAGGCAUUUGGAAAAUUUUUAGAACGGAUGAAUAUAGCACAUGUAAUCGAUCCUAUAUCCGAAGCAUAUGGGACACGAUUCAUGAUGUCUCACAUAAAGACUAAACCAGUCUUUUGCUAUAAUAUUUCCAUUUCAAUUUGCCAAGUUCUCAUAAUUCAGAUUAUGAAAAGGGAUGCCGUAAUCAUAAUCGAAUUUUAGAACGCAAAUAAUGGACCCAUAUACAGAAUUUCCUUAUGUUGAGCCAUUCCAACAUGAAAUUCAUAUAUAUCCUUGACUAAAUGAUUAAAACCUCACGAUCUAAGCUUAUAGAUUUGAGAUGAAGCAUAAUUUCCUCUCCCUUAAUUAUAGCAAAACAACUUUUUCCCAAUUGAAACUUUUGUUUUCUAUAAUUAACAUUGCUAACUUGCAAUACUUAUCAUAAUUAUCAUGCUCCCACUAACAUGAUGAUUAUUAGCAUAACACUUAUGCUCCCACUAGCUUUGACAUAUACUCAGAAAGCUCGACCUCUAGAAAUCAAUACUUUAUUGACUUUCUUACCAAAGUUCAGAUUUCUGAUACUAGAUUGUUUUGAUAAGACUUUAUCAAAAACAUACACCUUCCCUUAGAUAGCUCAUGGGUGUGUCAAAACAAUUUUUAAGAACAAUGAAGAGGGAUGCCGUAAUCAUAGUCUUGAUCAUUUUGACUUUUGCCAUAAUGAAAAGGGAUGCCGUAAUCAUAGUCUUGAUCAUUUUGACUUUUGCCAUUUCUCACAAGUCCAAGUUAGUGUGCCGGUAAACCACACACGCUCCACUAACGACUUUGAGAAUGCAAAUAUCCCAAUUGCUAUCUAGCUAAAAUCUACUUAGUGGAAGUGUUUCCUCACCAUCAUUUUCAUGAAUCGGAGAGAAACCUUAUGACACUUAGAUUUAAUGGUGUAUGAGUUCCUACCCAUAUGAAUUUGUCAAAACCAUAAUCANNNNN
rnacentral:lncRNA from 1 species